rnacentral:rRNA from 1 species
CCUACGGGAGGCAGCAGUGAGGAAUAUUGGUCAAUGGGCGUGAGCCUGAACCAGCCAAGUCGCGUGAGGGAAGACGGUCCUACGGAUUGUAAACCUCUUUUGCCGGGGAGCAACGGGGUCCUUGCGAGGGCCCGAUGAGAGUACCCGGAGAAAAAGCAUCGGCUAACUCCGUGCCAGCAGCCGCGGUAAUACGGAGGAUGCGAGCGUUAUCCGGAUUUAUUGGGUUUAAAGGGUGCGUAGGCGGGCUGUUAAGUCAGCGGUAAAAUGUCGGGGCUCAACCCCGGACUGCCGUUGAAACUGGCGGCCUCGAGUGGGCGAGAGGUAUGCGGAAUGCGUGGUGUAGCGGUGAAAUGCAUAGAUAUCACGCAGAACUCCGAUUGCGAAGGCAGCAUACCGGCGCGCGACUGACGCUGAGGCACGAAAGCGUGGGUAGCGAACAGGAUUAGAUACCCUUGUAGUC